GUAAGAGAACACUGAUGUGUUGUACGCAGAAUAUGGAGUAAGAAAAAAAAAAAACCCCCAAACGUUUUAUAGGUACCUGAAUGGUUUUCGACGGACGGUACCGACGGUUAACGACGAGAAUAAUUGGAUUGUAAAUAAUAACAUACGAUGUAAACGGGUGACUCGUGAAUUUUGAUAAAAAAAAAAAAAAAAAAGAAGAAGAGAAAAAUAUGCGAUUUUCCGUCUCUACGCGGGUCUGUCUGACCUGUGCAUGUGUACACGUACACCUGGCGAAAAUUUGUUUUCGAUUUUCCGUGUUUUGAAAGUAUAAUCUCCUAGAAGUGUAGAAAUCCGGACAGUAAUAUUGUUCAGAAAACGACGUUAAUAUAGAGUCGGGGCGGGUUGUUUCCUGCCGCACCGUCCCGUCAACCGUACGCACGGCUACCUCACCGUCCUGCCUACACUCGGCACCUGGC